ACUUGCCACUCUGACAGGAUGGGAACCUUUUGAAGUCUCAGAUAAUGGAAAGUUCAUCACCCAAGCUCGAAACCCAAGAUGCAGCAAACUGAACUGGCCAGGCUGAGAGGUGACAUAAGUGCCGGGAUCAUUUCUGGAGCAGCAAGGCAGGACAUCUUCUGCAUUGGGAAGGGUGAAAAGAGCCAAGGAGCAAAGUCAGCCAAGAGUUAUCUAGACUGGCAGAGCAAGUUCAAGGAGCUCUUCAGCUUUAUCAAGAAAUGCUUUCCAGAGUCCUCUUCUUUUGCACUGAAGUGCGGAUGUUGUUGCAUCUGUGACAGAAGUCUUUUGGUAGGAAUAAUGUCUUUAUCAGCUUUUCAGCUUUCAGGUGCACAGACUUACCUCUGAGCCACCAGCACCCAGAGAUGUUUUCUGUAAUCUGCUGGAAAAUGUGUGUACCUGAUAGGGUGCUUGUCCAAGUGUAUAUGUUGGUCUAUUGAAGCAGACUGGCUUUAUCUUAGAACUUGGUUUUUGCAGCUCACUCCUCUCUGCUUGUCACUGUUUUACCAGACAUCAUCAUGCUGGCCAUCUCUGCAUGUGGCUCUGUAUUUCCUGACAUGGCCUGAGGAUGCAGGAGGUAUUUUUGAGUUACCUGGAGAAAACCCACCUUGGGAAGCCUCUGUGAACUGAAGUGCUGAGGUUGUGCCAGUGUUUCCUUCGCUGUACAUGUUUCACUCGGCCAAAGUUACUGUUGUGUAGCAAAAAGAAACAAGAACAGACUGGGAUCACCUAGCAGAGCUCUGGGAUAGCUAAUGCUUUUGCUCAGACAAGCCUGAGCAACGUCCUUUAUGUGUAUCAGACAAACUCCUGGCACCCUGUACCUGCAGUUUCAGCUGAGAGACCUGGUGUCAUUGGGACCACCUGAGCCAGAGGCAGGGAAUAGGAAGUCAUCAUCUUAGCCAUAAACGGAACAGGACUUACCUCCUGCUUUGAAAGAUGCUGCCUGAUUUGUCCUUUGAGACUCUGCAAGAAAGAGUUGCUGCUCCAGCUUUCAUUCACUCCCUGGUCCUGAAAUAGUUUCUGGAUCUGAGCCAUCUCUUUUCAAGAUUGUUGUCUUGGACCUGCCUGCUUUCCUGCUCAAGCCAAGAUUGUUGCUGUCCAAACUGCACUGUGAGAUGUGCACAUCUUGACCGGCAGUGGGGCUGAGCUCCUUGGCACCCUCAUGAAGAGAUGCUCAGUUUUACUCAGCCUGGGACACUGGUGACUAAAAUGUUCAAUUGC